AAAAGAAUAAUAUUGAUAAACAUAAGGAGCAUUAUUGUUGAACUCUUCAUGUAUUUUAUAAAUUCUUCUGAACAUUGAUAUACAUCCGAUGAACAGUUGACACAUAUUUCAUGAACAAAACAAAGAAAAUUGCAGCUCCCUCGUCUUUUUCUUUUUCCUCUUCAAUUCGGACAUAGUACAUCAGCUGCACCACCAACCCAGCCUCAAAGCCAUACCCAAAUACAGAAAGAACUCACAUCAACCACCCUAUAUUUGCAUUUCAUCCAACAAGCAUGAUCAGUUAAAAAAUAUAGAGUAUAUAUGCUUAAUUCAUACAAACCAAUUUGAUUGAACAUAUACAAACGUUCCUCGAACUUUUGUAUGUGAUUCAAUGAACAUACAACACGAUCCAAAAUGCAUUGGUUUUAAUUUUAUAGCUAUUCCUUGCUAUUUAUGUUUUGGAAAAAUUCAGACGUUCUUAGAAAACUUCACACAUAAAUUGAGAUUGGUAGAAUUAGCCCAUACAUGUUUCAUCAGCAAUAUUUCUUACUAAUACUCAAAUUCAAUGCAUGUUCAUAUACAUAUAUAAAUCAAUAUAUUUCAUGAACUAUAUUGCCAGAUCAGGAUUGAGAUUUAGUUCGCUAAUAAGAUAUGGAAAACAUCCAUUAUGAAAGAAUCAUAUUAUCGUCUACAAUAUUAGUCGAUGGGCAAAAUCACUAACCAGAGUUUUUGUAAAUAUUAAAUGGUAAUAGAUUCUGCUCGUCGACGAUAAUAAAUCAGCAACUUGUGAUUGACGACGGCGAAUUUUUUAUGUAUCGCUGAACGACGGCGGAGGAAUGUCAAGAACGAUAGUCUUCUGAAGUAGCAAAUGAAAAACCGUGAAUAUUGUUUUACUUCCUCAUCGCAUAACAUUUUUCCGCAUUGAAUUUUCACAAUUUGAAUAAACGUAUUAUAUAUUUCUAAUGAACUUAUUGAAACUUACCAAUCUCCAUAACAUUUUCCUGCAUUGGAAUUUCACAAUUUGGAUGAACUUAUUAUAUAUUUCUAAUGAACUUAUUAGACUUAUCAAUCUCCAUUAACACUUUCGUGCAUUGGAAUUUCACAAUUUGAAUGAACUUAUUAGCUAUUUCUAAUAAACUUAUUGAACUUAUCAAUCUCCAUAACAUUGUCGUGCAUUUGAAUUUCACAAUUUGAACGAACUUAUUAGUUAUUUCUAAUGAACUUAUUGAACUUAUCAAUCUCCAUAACAUUUUCGUGCAUUGGAAUUUCACAAUUUGAAUGAACUUAUUAGUUAUUUCUAAUGAACUUAUAACCAAAUGGAGAUUUAUGAUGUUAGUUUUCAAGUUGUCAUUUAUAAAAAAAACAACGAAAAAGGAGAGUACAAUUUAUUAGAAUAUCUGGAGUCAAAAAACUCGUAUAAAAAAUCCAAUCAGAUUACACAGACAAUUCCACAAUUCUCUGAACAUAAUCGAGCUUCGACACCUUCUCGGAAGGCUCGGUUGGAAAAUCUUUUACCGCCACUACUCCGAUCAGGUUCCUCAGCCAUGUCGCAACUUCGUAUCUUUUUAUAAACAUAAGAAAAAAAAAAUACAAGUCAGAAAAACUCACAUCAAAUAAUAACAAAAAUAAACCUACAAUUAUUUUCGAACAUAGUUAAUAAAGCUAAGAACAAAACCACUAAUCUAUAGAAUAUAUAACAAAAUAUCUUACACAAUGUUCAAUAUAGAUGAUUCGCCGGCGAAACGAAUUUGUCUACACAAAAAU
rnacentral:lncRNA from 1 species